GGUGCAACUUUUAUUGCGCACAUAUUUCUUACUACUUGAAAUAAGGUGGAUUUUCAACUGUCCUAAGUCUAAUCAUCCUAAAUUCAACCAAAUUUACAAGAACAAUAGAUGUGGCAGAUGUCAUUACUUUUCUCACAAAUUAUAUCAAAGUCAGAAUAGUUUGGCUUGCGACGACGGCAAAUCUAUUAUUUGUCAAGACUCAGGGAGUAAUUCAACUAUGAUAGAAUAAAAGGGAAACGUCCAAAUUAGUCGUCCAAAUAUUUAGUUCAAUUUACUUCUUCCAGGUAUUUCACACGGUCCACUUUACAACUUAAUUUUUUUUUUGUUUUUGUAUGUACAAAUCGUGUUAUUGUUUCAAAUUUUGUGAGGUGAUAGAGGACACCAAAUUUUGUGUUACAAAUAUACAUUAAUUAUGAAUUCUCCAUCAUCAUGUUUUGUACAUAUUGUAUCUCUAUUGUUAGUUUCUUAUUAAAUUUUAUAACCUGCCAUAAUAAAAUGGUGGAAAAGAUAAUAUAUUUUUUCUAAUAGAACUUGUGAUGUUGUCUAUCACCUCAAAAAAAUGAUAAUAAAACUCAAUUUAUAUGCCGGGAAACAGAAAUAACAAAUCUUGUUAAGGUUAAACUGGAUGAACUCAACUAGUCAGGAGAAGUGAAUCAAACCAAAUAUUGAAUUU
rnacentral:lncRNA from 1 species